CUGUUGAAGGUUUGUUUGUCUCUUCCCCUUCCUCUGCCUUUAAAACUUCCACGACCUUGACCCCUUCCUCCAGAUUGUUCACCAUGAGUGAUCUUCAAAGCGUGUUCUUCUUCAACAUGAGAACUCAGGCAUUGUUCAUGCACAAGCAGGCUGCUUUGCAACUCAUCAAUGGUUAAGAUGGUUGUUGUAAUACCCGAAUUUUUAGAUGAAUAAAUAAAUAAAAUAAAAAUAACAACAUAGGGGCAAAAUGGUCAUUUUGCCCCUACUCUUAUCCAACGGGUCUACUUGUUUGGGCUUCAAGAAGAAAGAGAGAGAAAAGAAAAGAAAAAGAGUGAGAGAACGGAGAAAGGAGAAGAAGUUAAGGUUUGGGAGAGAGGAAGAAUAGAGAUGACAAAUAGCUAUUGGAGAUUGAAUCCAAGGCAAGAAACUUCGAAGCAAUACUUCUCCCAGUGCUGGAAAAGGAGUUCGGGUGGUGGAAUCCACUCAUUCCGGCAAGAAAAUCCGAGAACGGACAAAGACCUGUGAAGAAAAUUCCAGAAUUGUUGGAAUCCAUUCCGUCAAGAAAACUCGAACUCGGGAAGGCACGCGUCGACCAAGUACCAGUCGAUUCGGGAAGGUGUUCGAGAGCUGUGCGGUCACAGAGGGGUGUCGUUCCGGAGCGUCAGUCCAUGGUCGGUCUUUUAGAGUCCUUUGUCCGUUUCCAUAUUUAGUCUUUUGUAUUUUUCUUCAUAAUUGUAUUUUCCAUCUGAAAUAUUUGAUUUUAAUUUUGUAUUUCAUUUUUACAUUUUCAAUUUCCUUCGUAAUAUUUUCGCAACAAAUCUUCUUUCUCUUUUGUUUUAAUUGAAUGGUAUUUUUAUCCUUUUACUUUGCUUUUCCUUUCUUUUAUUUUCUUUUUGCUUGUUUUCGAUUUCGUCCUUUUAGUCACGAGUUCGAUUCUUCGAAGCCUCGAAAAUCGGGUCGUGACAGUUUGAUAUCAGAGCGAGU